GUUUUCCCAGGGGCAAGACAAGUGCUCCUGUUGGACGGUGUCCAAGAUAGGUACAGCCGAGCAUUCGUUUGCUCACAUAGCGACAAAGUUCAACACUUUCUCAAUUCUCCCUCAGUCCUUCCAGGAGAAAGCCUCAGUUGGGAGCUAGCCUGUCUUUAACACCUCUGACACUUGCUACCCUUCCUUUUUUUUUUUUACAGAGAGAGAUCAGGCUUCAGGCUCAGAGCCAUCAGGAGGCCUCAGUGUCUAGCUGGGAUUUGCUACGUUUCCUUGCAUUUAUAUCUGUGGCUGCCUUCCAUUUACAAUCACCCACUCUGUGCGAGGCCCUGCGUCAGACGCUGAAGACACAAUGGGGAUCAGGAGAGGCCUCUCUGAAAAUAUUCUAUCUGAGCAGCAACAUAAAGAAUGAGUAAGAACUGGCCGGCUGGAAACUGCAGCACAUCAAGCGGGUGGGCUGCUUGGCAGAGGAAAAAGCUUGGCAGGCCCCAAGAAUGGAAUAGAAGAGGAAAUCCAGGUUUAAUUUUGUUCAUUCUACCGUCGCACCUACCUCCACAGAAGAAAUCUUGGCUUCUGCUGUGAGAACCUUCUCAGGACUUCUGGGGGACAAUAAAGUCAGCAGAUUCGUGAUGAUCAGCUGCUCCUGAGCUGCGUAGGUUAGUGUUCCCUGUGGGGCAGAGGCAUGUGGGGAAAGUAAUUUGCUGACCUUGACUUUUCACAGAACUUCAGAUUUAGCAGAAAGAACAUGGCUUACACUUGCCAGGGUUUAGUCCCCCUUCUGAAGUGUGACCAGGUGUCUUUGUUUGCUGUUUCAGUUUACACCUGCUAUCCCGUGUCCUGUCAGCUUAGCAUGUGUCCAGGGUAAAAACCUUCCAGGCUGGACAAUUAAUUAUGUGCUUACCAUACCUGCCACAGAAACUUGAAUAAGUCAUUUCUCCUCCCUGAGCCUCAGCUUCCUCCUCCGUACCACAGGCCUGGCUACCAAUUUCACAGAGAUGUCGAUCACUCCUCAUUUAAUAGCAUCCUUCCAUGUGGGAGGAACUGUCCUAGAUUCUGGGGGACACUGUGGGUAACAAGACACUAUUCCUGCUCUCCUGCCUUGCUUGUCUUAUAAGUAAACAAGCAAGAUAAUUUCAGAGAUUUAAUUUAGAUCAGAUAGUCAGGGAGGGCCUCCCUGACAAGGUGAGAUUUGGGCUAAGGGCUGAAGAAUGAGAACAAAACACAAGGGGAGCUGAGGGAAGAGCACUCCUGGUUAAGGGAACAGCAAGUGCAAAGGCCCUGAGGCAGGAGAUUACUCAUCACAAGGAGUGGAAUGGAGCUCAUGAGUAGGACCAUGCUCUAUAAACUGUAAAGAGUCCCAACAGUAAUUAUUCUACUAGAGGGUUUUAAAAUACUCUCACAUCUUUGUCUUAAAUGGUCCUCAAGAUAAUUCUAAAAGGGUUGGAGAGUGUCACAGAGAAGUAUUACUAAUCCUGGUUUAUGGAACAAAAUAUUCUUAAGAAUUAUCAUUGCAUAUUUUAAAAAAAUGGUCCCACUAACUUCUAUGCUUACAUUUAAUUUCAUGUAUCACCAUUGUCUUUCAUUGUUUUUGAUGAUGGGAAUCCUUCGAGAAUGAGCGACAUCUUUAUACACCUCUUUUCAUUAUGAUAUUUAAUUCUGUGGUUAAGUCCUUAGGUGUACUGCUUUUUCUUUUUUUUGGCCUUGUGGUAUGCGGGAUGUUAGUUCCCCAACCAGGGAUGGAACCUGUGCCCCCUGCGGUGGAAGUGCCGACACCUUGUCUAACUGGCUUAGAGGCAGGCUCACAUCUGAUUCAUCUCUGUAUCCCUUUGGUGUGGACAUCAGUUGUUUCUGCCUACUCAGCACCUUUUCAUCUUUCUCUGGCAAAGGCACCUGAUUUCCUUUUAGGGAGACACCCCUCCCCCAUACUAUAUCUAGACCUUUUUUGUGUGCUAUGGACCCCCUGACAGUCUGUAAAAGCCUAUGGACCCCUCCUCAGAUUGAUGUUUUUAAAUGCUUAAUAUCAACUACAAAUGAUUUAAAAGAAGUCAAUUAUAUUGAAAUAGU